rnacentral:sRNA from 2 species
AUUUUGCGUUAAGGAUUGCAGCGGUAUCCUUUUUUAGCUGUGAAACAAAGUGGAACAAAAGAAAAAGAUUUAGCGGAAAGCCUGACCCGUA